UUGCAUCGAUGAAGAACGCAGCGAAAUGCGAUAAGUAAUGUGAAUUGCAGAAUUCAGUGAAUCAUCGAAUCUUUGAACGCACCUUGCGCUCUCUGGUAUUCCGGGGAGCACACCUGUUCGAGUGUCAUUGAAACUCUCAAAUAAAGGUGGUUUUUUGGAGACCAUCUCUGUUUGGAUUUGGGCUUUGCUGCAUUAAUGUGGCUAGUCUUAAAUGUAUUAGCUGGUCCUCAUUGUGGUUUUGGUUCUACUCAGCAUGAUAAUUAUCUAAUGUUGAGGACAGUUGAAGGACUGGCCAUGGCCCUCUCUGGAUUGCUUCUAAAUCGUCUUCAGGACAAUUGUUUAAUUUUCUGACCUCCAAUCAGGUGGGACUACCCGCUGAACUUAAGCAUAUCAAUAAACGGAGGAACGAAGAAA
rnacentral:rRNA from 1 species